CCCGCACGAGCUCGCGGGGCCCGUUAACGGCGCCCUGUCAGGCCGUGUGCGAGCGUCGCCCAGGCCUGCGCCCCCCGGACCCAGUGGGGACCCCGCCGACCACGACACUGCAGCGGACAAUUGGAAUUUGUCAGGGAAUUCACAGAAUUGUGAGGCAUUACUCAAAAGGAUGAGGCAGAAAAGGACAACAGCCAGCCAGCUUUCCUAUGCAAGAAGAGGACCUGCAUGAGGAUGGGUGACUUAUGAAUGUAGGGGUCAUGAGAAGAGUUAUUGAUCUCCAGAACUGAUUUAUAUAAAAUCUUUCAGACUUCAUAUGGGAAACCAGAAAGGCCAGAUUAAAAGAGUCAGCUGGCAGAGAGCCCUGAGCUGAUUAGCAAGGCUGUUAUGCCCAAAGAGCAAGGCAGCAUCACUGCGUGUCUCAUCCAUUACCUCCCAGGACAUGCUGUACUCCUUAUACUGCAAUUCAUAUUGGAGAAUUUCAACGAGGUACCAAGGCACAUUCCACACACUCCACCAUAUCUGACACUUGCUGGCAGUGGCAUUGCUCUGGAGGUUCAAAGGUGGAUCAAGUUUUACUGUAAAUAGAGGAGGCAGGUUUUUUCACAAUAUUUGGAACAUCACAAAAGGAGAUGCGUGAUACCAGGCUGACUAAAGUCUUGGAAGAUAAAGCUUGGUCCGAAGAGUGAUACUAAGACCAGAAGUAGACCAAAUUAGUUUCCAGGUUGGAUCAGAGCAGCUACAGAACUGACAUAAAUUAACGAUAACUCCAGCAGUCUCUGGGGAUAAUCUUGCAAGCAAAGAACCACUCUGGAUGUCACAUUCUGCCCUAAAAACAUACCACACAUAUAGAUACUAGAUACUAGUAUUUCAGAUACUAGAGCAUUUCUCUGAAGUACCAGGCCACGGGACAUUCGAUUAAAUCCGUGACUUUGAUUUCUCAUUACAUAAUUUCUCAGGAAAAAGUAAAACAACAAAACAAACAAUUGUGGCAAUCUAAUUGUAAAUUAUCUAUGGCACAAGAAAACAUGAUGCAAGUGCGAAGUCUUCUUGAAAGAUGCUCCAGAGCCAGCCCUCUCUAAAGUCCUAGAAAAGUCAGAAUGGAGAGACUCAGGGACUGCAUCCUCACUGGAACAGUCCACACAGCACACUCUCCAGGAAUGGACAGUCUGGCUUGUUUUCAUUGUUUCCACUUGCUGUCUUUGAGACACCCUUUGUUAGAGAGCAUAUCAGACCUACCCCAAAGCUGCUGGGCAGAGCCACAGCUCAUGACUGCCCUUGUUCAUACUUACUGUGCUUGCGGGGAUUGUACACUGGAAAGGUAAUGUAUUUGUGAUUACGUCCAAAGAAGUGUCCUUGGAGAGAGACUCUAUAACCAUCUGUUUCCAAGAUCUGGCUGGCUAAAUGAAUUGUGCAGUGGUACUGAUUCUGCAUGCUCUCUGUGGCAGUCAGUUUGCAGCUGGCGUUGUGGCCCUUUGACCAGAGGCUAGAAGAAUAAAAAGGCUGAAAGUUUCUUUGAAGGCA